UGGGGAAUUUUGGACAAUGGGCGAAAGCCUGAUCCAGCAAUGCCGCGUGUGUGAAGAAGGCCUUCGGGUUGUAAAGCACUUUUGUCCGGAAAGAAAUCCUUGGCUCUAAUACAGUCGGGGGAUGACGGUACCGGAAGAAUAAGCACCGGCUAACUACGUGCCAGCAGCCGCGGUAAUACGUAGGGUGCAAGCGUUAAUCGGAAUUACUGGGCGUAAAGCGUGCGCAGGCGGUUUGCUAAGACCGAUGUGAAAUCCCCGGGCUCAACCUGGGAACUGCAUUGGUGACUGGCAGGCUAGAGUAUGGCAGAGGGGGGUAGAAUUCCACGUGUAGCAGUGAAAUGCGUAGAGACGUGGAGGAAUACCGAUGGCGAAGGCAGCCCCCUGGGCCAAUACUGACGCUCAUGCACGAAAGCGUGGGGAGCAAACAGGAUUAGAUACCCUGGUAGUCCACGCCCUAAACGAUGUCAACUAGUUGUUGGGGAUUCAUUUCCUUAGUAACGUAGCUAACGCGUGAAGUUGACCGCCUGGGGAGUACGGUCGCAAGAUUAAAACUCAAAGGAAUUGACGGGG
rnacentral:rRNA from 1 species